GACGAACGCUGGCGGCGUGCUUAACACAUGCAAGUCGAACGGAAAGGCCCUGCGUUUGUGGGGUGCUCGAUUGGCGAAGGGGUGAGUAACACGUGAGUAACCUGCACUUGACUUUGGGGUAACAUCAGGAGACUGGGGAUAAUACCGGGUAGAAGCUCCUGCAGCGUGGUGUGGGAUGGAGAGAGUCGGCGGUGCGGGAUGUACUCGCUGCUUAUGAGCUGGUUGGUGUAGUAGUGGCUGACCAAGCCUUCGACGGCUAGCCGGCCUGAGAGGGUGACCGGCCACAAUGGGACUGAGAUACGGCCCAGUCUCGUACGGGAGGCAGCAGUGGAGAAUAUUGCACAACGGGCGGAAGCCUGAUGCAGCAGCGCCGCGUGCGGGAUGACCGGCUUCGGGGUGUAAACCGCUUUGGCCUGUGACGAAGCGUGAGUGACGGUAAUGGGUAAAGAAGCACCGGCUAACUACGUG
rnacentral:rRNA from 1 species